ACCCCGAUAGCACAAAGAUGAGUGCACCCCUACAUCAUCUGGCCAGUUUCACUUUGAGUGGGAGAUCCCGGUUCGAGUCCGGGUCGGGUUA